ensembl:lncRNA
ACAGAAUGCAGAGGCAAAAAACAAGACAAGAGGCACAGUGAAAGAACGCUUGGUCAUACUGGGACAUGGGUAACAAGGAGAGGGAGGGGGGAAGGCAGUGUGAGGUGAGAACAAUUCACACUACAAACGGCAUUAGGAGACAUUCCCAGCAGAGGGUGAAGGAAAUUGCCCAGAAUGAAGAUGGAGCAGAAGGUUAAGGUGGUGACAGUGGUCUUAAGGGAAAGGAAUGGGGAAGGGACUACACUCUGCACAAUACCUUGGCCCCAGAACAGUCAGUCAGGAGGACAGAGGUUGGACAGGACACAAGAGGUAGCACAGGGAGAUGGGUAAAAGAUGCAGGCAGGGAGAUAGACAGGGAGAAGCAAAGGGACAGAUGGAUGGAGUAUGAAGGAGGCAGCAGGAUAGCGACAGGGGAGGAAUUGUGUUUCAGGAGCUCACUGCCAGAAAUAUGUUUCCAUCAUGCAGAUAGAGGGAGAGGAACGAUAGAGGAAGAGAGAGGAGAGUAGUGGGCCAAACAUGGAGCAAUGCUUUCCAAAAAUGGCAGGGGGGUUAGUGAAGGGUUAGAGAAUCAACUAUAAAUGGUAAGACCCCUAAGGUCAUGAUUUUCCAUGGGGUUUAGCGCAUGGCAUUGUGUGCAAAACAGGGAAGGUGUGUGUAUGUGUUUGUGAGGUCAGCUACUGUGUGAUAUAUUAGGUAGUAAGUCACUUUUUUAGAACUCGCUGUAGAGGAGAAAACAGGACAAGCCUAAUCUACCUAUCGGGUUUCAUUAUUUUUUUUAAUUAUGUCAUUCAGACAAGGGCUCUUUUUUUUUUUUUACAUUAAAUGUUCCUAUAACAUAGACAGGAUGAGCCACAUUCCAACAUUGUACUGUAUCAGAUUUAACAGUAUAUUGAGUGAUAAUAUGUAGAGUCAUAGUUUAAAUCUGUACAUACAGCUUGAUGCAAUGAGUGCAACUGAUCAGUAAAAGUAUAAAUUCUAUAAUUUUACAUUGAUUUGUUUGUUUUUAAAAAGAUAUGUUGUUUAAUUAUAAAAGUUUUUAUCACAAAAUGGUUAAACAUGGUGUAAUAUUUUUUAAAGUAUGUAAAAUCUAAAUCAAAGCAAAUAAGAAAAAUAUUCGAAAUAUAGUUUUUCAACAUUGACAGCUAC